rnacentral:rRNA from 1 species
UACGUAGGGUGCAAGCGUUGUCCGGAAUUAUUGGGCGUAAAGAGCUCGUAGGCGGUUUGUCGCGUCGGCUGUGAAAACCUGGGGCUCAACCCCCGGGCCUGCAGCCGAUACGGGCAAACUAGAAUUCGGUAGGGGAGACUGGAAUUCCUGGUGGUAGCGGUGAAAUGCGCAGAUAUCAGGAGGAACACCGGUGGCGAAGGCGGGUCUCUGGGCCGAUAUUGACGCUGAGGAGCGAAAGCGUGGGGAGCAAACAGG